CACGUAGGGCGCGAGCGUUGUCCGGAAUUAUUGGGCGUAAAGAGCUCGUAGGCGGCCUGUUGCGUCCGCUGUGAAAGCCCGGGGCUUAACCCCCGGGGUCGGCAGUGGAUACGGGGCAGGCUAGAGGUAGGUAGGGGGAGAAUGGAAUUCCCGGUGUAGCGGUGAAAUGCGCAGAUAUCGGGAGGAACACCGGUGGCGAAGGCAGGUCUCUGGGCAUUAACUGACGCUGAGGAGCGAAAGCAUGGGGAGCGAACAGG
rnacentral:rRNA from 1 species